UCUACUUACGAGUAGCUUUCGCAGAAGGGC
rnacentral:piRNA from 1 species